AUACGGAGGGUGCAAGCGUUAUUCGGAAUCACUGGGCGUAAAGGACGCGUAGGCGGGUUGGCAAGUCAGAUGUGAAAUCCUACAGCUUAACUGUAGAACUGCAUUUGAAACUGCUAACCUAGAGUAUGGGAGGGGGAGAUGGAAUUAGUGGUGUAGGGGUAAAAUCCGUAGAUAUCACUAGGAAUACCGAAAGCGAAGGCGAUCUCCUGGAACAUAACUGACGCUAAGGCGUGAAAGCGUGGGGAGCAAACAGGAUUAGAUACCCUAGUGUCC
rnacentral:rRNA from 1 species